ACGGAGGGUGCAAGCGUUAUCCGGAUUCACUGGGUUUAAAGGGUGCGUAGGCGGACAGGUAAGUCAGUGGUGAAAUCUCCGAGCUUAACUCGGAAACUGCCGUUGAUACUAUUUGUCUUGAAUAUUGUUGAGGUUUGCGGAAUGGGUCAUGUAGCGGUGAAAUGCAUAGAUAUGACCCGGAACGCCAAUUGCGAAGGCAGCAGGCUAAACAAAGAUUGACGCUGAGGCUCGAAAGCGUGGGGAUCAAACAGGA
rnacentral:rRNA from 1 species